rnacentral:rRNA from 1 species
CCUACGGGUGGCAGCAGUGGGGGAUAUUGCACAAUGGGGGGAACCCUGAUGCAGCGACGCCGCGUGGGUGAAGGAGUGCUUCGGCAUGUAAAGCCCUAUCGGCAGGGAAGAAGCAAGACGGUACCUGACUAAGAAGCCCCGGCUAACUACGUGCCAGCAGCCGCGGUAAUACGUAGGGGGCGAGCGUUAUCCGGAUUCACUGGGUUUAAAGGGUGCGCAGGCGGAAUGUCAAGUCAGCGGUAAAAUUUCGGGGCUCAACCCCGUCGUGCCGUUGAAACUGGCGUUCUUGAGUGAGCGAGAAGUAUGCGGAAUGCGUGGUGUAGCGGUGAAAUGCAUAGAUAUCACGCAGAACUCCGAUUGCGAAGGCAGCAUACCGGCGCUCAACUGACGCUCAUGCACGAAAGCGUGGGUAUCGAACAGGAUUAGAUACCCCAGUAGUC